UGACCAAUCCCGCGUGCGGGGUCUUGGGCACCGCCGCCUGGCGGGCCUCAAAAUCAGUGGCGGUCCGGCCGGGCUCUGAGCGUAGUAAAUCUUCUCGCUACAGGGUCCCGGGCGGCACUGGCCAGCAACCCCCAAUCUUUCACA
rnacentral:misc_RNA from 1 species